UUGGAGGGCAAGUCUGGUGCCAGCAGUCGCGGUAAUUCCAGCUCCAAUAGCGUAUAUCAAAGUUGUUGCAGUUAAAAAGCUCGUAGUUGAAUUUCGGGAUCAAUUUAUUGGUCGUGCUAUUGUACGUACUGGUAUUAUUGAUUCCUACCUUCUGACGAACCAUGAUGUCAUUAAUUUGGUGUCAUGGGGAAUCAGGACUGUUACUUUGAAAAAAUUAGAGUGUUUAAAGCAGGCUCACGCUUGAAUACAUUAGCAUGGAAUAACGAAAUAGGACGUUUGAUUCUAUUUUGUUGGUUUCUAGGAUCGACGUAAUGAUUAAUAGGGAUAGUUGGGGGCAUUAGUAUUCAAUUGUCAGAGGUGAAAUUCUUGGAUUUAUUGAAGACUAACUACUGCGAAGGCAUUUGCCAAGGAUGUUUUCAUUAAUCAAGAACGAAAGUUAGGGGAUCGAAGACGAUCAGAUACCGUCGUAGUCUUAACCAUAAACUAUGCCGACUAGGGAUCGGAUGAUGUUAAUUUUUUAACGACUCAUUCGGCGCCUUACGGGAAAC
rnacentral:rRNA from 1 species